rnacentral:tRNA from 1 species
AAUUGAAUAGCUUAAAUUUUAAAGCAAAGUAUUGAAGAUACUAAGAUGAAUGGAUUUUCUUUAAUUA